rnacentral:lncRNA from 1 species
AAACUGCACCCAUUAUUAGCAGUGGGAAGGGAUGAUUCUUACAGUGCUUUCUGCCGGUGGAUUUACAAAAGGUCUUUACAUGGGAUUGUUGUACCUCUUUGCAGGUGAGAAGGUUGAGACAGAGAGAAAAGAAGCAAUUUAUCCAGGGUCACCUAGAAAGCUAAUAGUACUGCAGGAAGGAAAACCAAUGAAUCCCGAGGUGCACGCUGUUUUCCUUCCAACUGUUCCAAGUUUCCCGAGGAAACAAACAUCUCCACUGAAGUUUCCAGUCAGCAUCUGGCAAUACGAGCUGCGUCUCUCACUUGUUUGAGUUAACGGCUUCUGCAGUCAGCUUUGACUGAGGUGAUUUUCAAACAGGGCAUUGCUGGAGGGAUUGAGCGAACUAACUGGACAUCAUGAAACAAGUGAGUUAACUAUCUCUGUGGUGCGCGCUCCUGCAACUUGCUAGCUCAGUCUGUAGCAUAAAGCAAUUCACAUCUGCAUUGAAUUUUUUUUUUCAAUGACAUAUUAUUUCUUGUUUUUCUUCACUAUAACUAAGCAAGUUAUAAUUAUUUGCCCUGUGGUAAAAUGUCUGUCUUUUCCUACAUAAACUUUCUAAAAAUGUGAAAUUCGACUCAAUGGUUUUCGAGUCCUAAGAGCAGCCUCUGCUGAUGCAUGAGGAAAUUGUUUCUCUACUUUUCCAACAGAGGCAACAGUUUGCGUUGCCUGGCCGUGAGUAGUUGGCGAGGACGAUUCAGCUGAGGUGCGUGUGGCACAUGGAAAAAUAGGCAAUCCUUCACUGCCUGUACGUUUUAAGUAUGGUCAACGUCAAAAACGUCUGGUACCGGGAAUGAUAUAGAUAAAACUGCAGUGGUGUUACGGUCCUCUGUAAAAACUUCUGGUGAUCCUUCUCAGAAUAGCCCCAUGCCCGUUCCAUCAUCAAAUGUGAACGCUGCCCUACCGAAACUUGAACCCCCCUCGUUUUUGUGACACGAUCUUUGAGGCAGGCGCUCGCUGCCCCAAGCCAGCGCUGUCCUGGGCGCGGGGAAGCGGCGUGAGCUGCCCGGCCCCUGCCCGGCUCCACCCCGACCCGACCCGGGCGCAGGGAGCCGGGGGCCGCCUGGGCAGCCCCGCCUGGCCCGGGCUCCCCUCAGCCCCUCGCCCGCCGGCUUCCCCCUCACAGCCCCGGCCCCCGAGACCGAGCGGCGUCAGCGGCGGCCGCAACCAACCAGCGGCAGGCGGGAGCGCCCCCCCCGUCCCCUCCCCGCCCGAUAAAAGCCGCGGGCCGGCGAGGCGGGACGGGGCGGCGGCGGCUCCUGUCAGCGCCGGCUCCUGUCAGCGCCGCGUCCCCGCUCCGCUGCCGGCAGCGCCGCGUCCCCCGCCCGGCCCU